rnacentral:rRNA from 1 species
UACAGAGGGUGCAAGCGUUAAUCGGAAUUACUGGGCGUAAAGCGCACGUAGGUGGCUUGAUAAGUUGGGUGUGAAAUCCCCGGGCUUAACCUGGGAAUUGCAUUCAAGACUGUCUUGCUAGAGUGUGGAAGAGGGAAGCGGAAUUCCAGGUGUAGCGGUGAAAUGCGUAGAUAUCGGAAGGAACACCUGUGGCGAAAGCGGCUCACUGGACCAUUACUGACGCUGAGGCACGAAAGCUAGGGGAGCAAACAGG